AAAAUGCAGGCAAUGGAGAUGGACUAAGAGAAGUGGAAGAAAGUGAUGUGGAGAGUCUGCAGUGGAGAAAGAGGUUCCUCUGGGGAGCAAUUUCAGACUGCUUACAUCCAGAUCUGCCAUGGAGCAGGGAAUUAGGAAAUCAGCCAGUCAAGGACGGCUUGGUUCUGACCUAACCCCUGAGAAUCAACCAGGUGGAGCCUGUGAUGGAUGUAUUCCUGCCCUUCUGCACCAGCUGAGCUCAUUUUGCUGUGCUGAAUUCAUGACAAGACAAGAAAGAUGACGUGAAACUAGUGAGCCUCAAGAGGGCUCCCAGCUUCCUUCCAGCAUCCUUGGAUGAGACAGAGACAGCAACCUGGCACAGAGAGAGGAUGAUCACAGCUGUAUGGCUGCUCAAGAAGCAUUGUUUUUCAAUGUGAAAGGUCAAGUGCUGAACUGCUAAACUCUUCUCUAUUCCUAGGCACCUGUGCCUAUGAGAGAUGCAGGUACCUUUGCAGAUCUUGGCCCACAUCAUUGGAGCAAAUGUCACUGAGCACACAGGAAGGAUUAUCUGUCUGGAUAGUGAAGAAUCAACUGCACAGUUCUGUGAAAACAUAAAUUUGUUGGGAAUUAAUUAGGAAUUGAAAGUGCGGGGGAAGGACCCAGUAAGAGAGGACCACUGAAAGCACAUUGGAUGCAUUGGGUAUGGCCUAUUCCCACUGUGAGUGACACUGCUUCUUGCUUUUGAGAAAGAGAAAAGGAAGAGUAAAAGCAAGAGAAACUUCUGAGUCAAGAAAGAAAUGUUUGGACAAAGAGAGAAAGAAAACAAAACAAGGUAUGCAAAAUCAGUUGCUCACCACCUCUCAGUGCCCAGCCAGUUUCUAAGCAAGUGGAGGCUAACCCCUAAACCACCCACCUCUUCUCUUCCUGUGGCAUUAUGUUAUUAUGGCCUGGAACAUCUCUGAUUAUUCUGAGUCAUCUGCCUGGUUGUAUCCUCUCCUAGCCUCUUGUGCACUCUCAAAUCUAUUCAAUGGGAGGGAAGAGGGGUGGAAAAACAGUGACACUGUGCAAAGACUGUUUAGCUAGAGUUAAGACAUUCAUUGUUUUGUUCCAUAGCACCAUAUGAGCUAAUAUGAAGAAAAUUAACUCAAUUCCAGCCAGACCUAUCACAUUAUGCUGAUGAUAAACUGGGUAUCAGUUCUUUCCCCUUUAACAGAGGUAUACCGAGAGAAGUUUACUAACAUAUAGACUGAAGCAGCUCAUCUUACGGAUAAACUUGCUUCAGACCUGGCUUCCCCUCUCUAAUAAGAAGAGACAAUAGGGUUCACUGCAGACUUCUGACUCCAUCCAGGUCUUUAUUCCAGUACUCUCCAAAGGCAUUUUAUUGGAUGGGCACAUGGUGGAAAUUUUUAUUUUCUCAUCCAAGUACUGGGAAAAAGCAGAGCUUCUUGGCUUUUUGGAGUAGUCGUGAUGAAGACGGUUAGAUGAUCUAUUUUCUUCUAGGCAAAAAAGUCUCCGGUGGGCAUAUUAAUCAUAUUUGCAAAUGUAGGCUAAAAAAGGACCAGAACUCAUAGCAAAUAAUUAAGAUUCCUGCACUGAAAUAUGUAUGCAUUAAAAAAGACACCCAAAUUUGAACUUCAGAAGUGUACAAAUUCUGAUAUUUGUAUUUACAGCUAUAUUAUUACAUUACACAUUACACAUACUCAAAUUAUAUUCAAAUUUAGUAUAUGUAUUAGCUGGGAGGGUUACAAGAUUUUGUGGGGCUCAAACCUCCACACAAAAGUCUAUAUAUCCCAUCUGUGAAGGCAGAAUCAAACCCUCAGGUGCUGAAAACCACAGGAAGUCGGAAAAUGGCGCUUCUUGUUCUCAUGGAUUGUAUCUGUGUAGUUGAAGAUCACUACUGAGAAUGCUAAGUCUGCUCAGGGGUGGUUCAUGCUCAUAGGUUAAGUUUUAUAGUCCCAAAGUUAUGCUGCUUCAUCUGUGAUUGGUAGAGGUCUGUCAGUGUUUCUAUGACAAAUGGGGAUUCUGGUAUUAGGUUUAAGCAGCUUUUGGCUUUUAAAUGCUUGCUGGCUGAGAAAGGAAAAAAAAGAUGGAAUGAAGGGAAGUGAAAUUCUAAUAUGCAUAUAUUAGCUCACCCUGUACCACUGUUGUUUCCUCCCCGAUAAGCACUGAACAGACCAGAAUGCCUCUGUCUUUUCUGAGCUUUGUCCCAUUUGUGAAUGAAAUGAGCUGUCUUUAUUAUUACUGCUCUUAUUUCUAACAUACUGGUGCAAGCAGUUCUAGGUGUUCUGCUGUCCUCUCCACACCAAUCUUCCCUAGCAACACAAGCAGGCCAUGGGCACAUAAACAUCAAUGACUGCAUAAGGACAAACUAAGUUAGCGCUUCCAUAUUGCUUGUACAAGCAAGAGUAUUGCCAGGAUAGGCAGGCAGGCUCUUAAUAAAUGUGAACGUGAAGAAUGGUAGAAAUGAUGCAGAAGUAGUAUCGCAGAACUCCUCAAUGUUUCAUUAAAUGUAUUGCGGGAAUAAUGCAGUCUUGGCACCUCACCUUAGAAUUGUCUGCCUGUAUUACUUUUGUGUAAUAUGCAGAUGCUGCCUGAGACUUGCAGCAAAGUAAUCAUUGUAAACCCUCAAAGUAACUUCUAGGAUGAAUGCAUCUCUUGCUAUUUGCAUAGUUUUAUCACUGAGCUCUCAGAAUGUGGUAGGCAGCCUAAAGUCUAGAAUCAGGAAUUGAUAAUUUGGGUACAGUAUUGGAACAUUACACUGAUAGCCUUACAGAAGAGAAAAACAGGCCACACUAUAGUCUCCUACAGUGCUACGUGAUAUGACAGGAACUACAGAUAAUUGAACUGGAGAGAAAGAGUUCUUUCUUCUUGCCAUUAAAAGGAAAGAUAUUUUCUAAGACAGCUGUUCUGGUUAACUAGAACUCAGAAAGUAGCUCAGACAUUUGAACUGCUAUAUAUAUAUAUGUAUUCCUGUAUAUAUGUAAUUACAUUUAUUAACUUUAUUUCAGCAUUUCUACAUAUAUAUUUCAGUUAAUCACAUUCUUUAAUCCUUUCUGCUGUCAGUUAUAAAGAUAACUGAGUGAUCUCAUACUUGACCUUCCUCUGAGCAGGAGACAAGUCUAAAUGUCCUCCUGACAUCCUUUUCAGCCUGAAUUAUUUUAUGAUUCUCUGAUCUGAGACACAAAAGUACUCAAUUCCUCUGUGUGUCAAUCCCUAUUCUGGAGAAUUAUGCACUUUCCAGCAAGCAAGACCUAAUUCUUCUUCUCCAAAGAUGCCCUUCUUUACUUAGCAACAUAGACAGGAUUGAGAACUGCUGUUUAAGACACUGAGAAAGAGAAAUGUCUACAAAUUGCUUUUGCUAAACUGUAAAGUUCUGCCGUUUUUACUUACCAAUCUUUACUUAGAUUGGUCUCCAAGAAAGCUGGUAACAAGCAUUUUAUAAUUUAAAAAAAAUGAAGUCCUUUGGAAUUUACAAAGUUCCCUGCAAUUCUGACAGCAGCUUUCAGCUGUUUUUCUAUUUAAUUGUAUUGCCCAAAUAAUACAUUUUCUCAUGGCCACAUCAGAAGAAUUUAAAGCACGGACCCGUGGUUUCAAAACAUAUUUUUCAGUGUUGCUGCCGUUUAGCCAAGAGAUUGCAGGUUCAAGGUUGUGAGAACAAAGGCAGGAUCGGGUACACGGCAGGCACAGGCUGAAAGUGCUGCAUGGCAUGGCACUGCUGGGAAUGCGGGGGCUUCCCUGCAACAGAGUUUUUGCUUUGCUGAUUUAGUUCUAAGAGAUUAUCUGAAGUCCUUUUGUUGACUGUAUAAAGCCAGUCUGAAACAGCUUACCAGAACUCACAGCACUGUUCAUUUCCGAAGGUCCUGAAUGUUCAGAAGGAAGCUGUCAGUUUUGCUAUUUCUGUGAAAUAAAAUCUGAAUAUUUUCAGUGUUUAUUGUUAUUUCAUGUGUGUUCUGUAUCCUGCGGUUUAUGGUAUCCUUUGUCUCCCUGUUUAAAAUCCUGUGGCAGAGGUGUCAUGCUUUUUUUCCCACGCUGUUCUGGAUAUUUGAUAUUUCUGUAAAUUACCAUUUCUAAUGGUACAUAAACAUGCACCGCACACACAUUGAAAGAAUUAAGUGCUCAGACAUUGCACAUGACUAACAGGUAAAUUUACAGAAGUUAUUGGCCUAAGACAAUUCUAUUAUGUCCAAAUGUUAUUCUUUUGUCAUGUUGUCCUGUACUUUCACAUCCCUUAUCAUUAAUUCCUUGCAUAAUUCCUAUUUAUUAUUUAAAGCUAUGUUAAAUGAGCUAUCAACUUUUUUCUUUAACUCAGUAGCUAUUUUCAUUCAAGUAAAUUACUGUUCUCCUAAUACUUGCUUUUAUCAGCAUGUUAUAGAUUUUUUAUUAAGGACAAGUUAUUAACACUUCAAAACUAUCUGAUUUAUGUGCCCAGUAACUUCUUUUUUAUAUCACUUCUAAUUGUGUGUGCAUACCCACAUUAACAUCUAGUAUAUAAGAAACUGAUAAAUGUGGUGCUGUUAUGAGAUGCCACAUAAAAAUGUAUUUAAUGACCUUUUCAUCCUAAGGAUAGAUUCUGUAGCUCGUUGCAUUUCAGAAG